AACGAACGCUGGCGGCAGGCCUCAAACAUGCAAGUCUAGGGGGUGGCAGCAAUGCAUCACCGGCGGACGGGUGCGUAACGCGUGGGAAUAUACCUUUUGGUUUCGGAACAACUGCGGGAAACUGCAGCUAAUACCGAAUGUGCCCUAACGGGGAAAGAUUUAUCGCCAAAGGAUUAGCCCGCGUAGGAUUAGCUAGUUGGUGAGGUAAUGGCUCACC
rnacentral:rRNA from 1 species